AGUCAAUGAUCGAAAGAUUGAUCUAGUUACUUAGAAAGAUGAAGCUUAUGAUAAUUUAAUUAUUAGAAUUUACAUUUUAAUAAUUUAAAUGGAAAAAUAAGAAUGAAGAAUAUAAAGUCUGGUCAAUCAAUUAAUAAUGAUAAUUGAUAUGACUAUGUCCCAACCAAGAGUAGUGCCAGCAGUUGCGGUUAGACUACGGGGGCUUACGUUAACCAAUAGUUGGCUUAAAGCAUCCGCAGGUGAUAUUGAAAAAAUAUUAGAGUUAUUUUUGGAAGAUAUUGAAGGAUUAUGGGAAGAUAUAAAAAGUAGUGAUGAUAAUUCGACAUUUAAAUAUUGAAAAUUAUAUUUCUAAAAUAACUGACACUCAGGGAUUAAGGCGUGAGUAGCAAAUCGGAUUAGAUACCCGACUAGUUCACGUUGUAAACUAUGAAUGCUAUUGAUUAUAUCAUGAUUUUUUAUCAAUCUUUUAACAAUAUAAGUGAAAACUUAAGNAUUCCGCCAGNCGAGUAUACUCUCAAGAGUGAAACUCAAGACAAUAGGCGGUUACAGGAAUAUGCAGUGGAUUGUGUUAU
rnacentral:rRNA from 1 species